AUUACUUUUAUGAUGAGACCAUAGUUCAACUGAUGGUUAUUGAUGUUAUUACUAGGCAACGUCUUUCGCCCCUAUCUGAUAAUUUUU